UACGAAGGGGCUAGCGUUGCUCGGAAUCACUGGGCGUAAAGGGUGCGUAGGCGGGUCUUUAAGUCAGGGUGAAAUCCUGGAGCUCAACUCCAGAACUGCCUUGAUACUGAGGAUCUUGAGUACGGGAGAGGUGAGUGGAACUGCGAGUGUAGAGGUGAAAUUCGUAGAUAUUCGCAAGAACACCAGUGGCGAAGGCGGCUCACUGGCCCGUUACUGACGCUGAGGCACGAAAGCGUGGGGAGC
rnacentral:rRNA from 1 species